rnacentral:rRNA from 1 species
GACGAACGCUGGCGGCGUGCUUAACACAUGCAAGUCGAGCGGAGCGGCGAAGGGGUGAGUAACGCGUGAGUAACUGCCCCCCUCUCUGGGAUAACAGUUGGAAACGGCUGCUAAUACCGGAUAGUGGGGGAUGACUCGCGUCCUAUCAGCUUGUUGGGUGGGUAGUGGCCUACCAAGGCGACGACGGGUAGCCGGCCUGGGAGGGCGACCGGCCACAUUGGCCUGAGAUGCGGCCCGAAAUCCUGCGGGAGGGAGGAGUGGGGGAUAUUGCACUAUGGGGGAAAGCCUGAUGCAGCGACGCCGGGUGAACGAAGACAGCGUUCGGGUCGUAAAGUUCUUUUAUAUGCGUUACCAUAAGAAAAAGCCCCGGCUAACUACGUGCCAGCAGCCGCGGUAAUAC